AGCUAUGAAGACCUCUAUAAUAUCAGGAC
rnacentral:sRNA from 1 species